GCUGGGCGUGGUGACGCGCACCUGUGGUCCCAGCUACUCGGGAGGCUGAGGCAGGAGAAUUGCUUGAAACCGGGAGCUGGAGGUUGCAGUGAGCGAAGAUCACACUACUGCACUCCAGCCUGGGUGACAGAGUGAGACUCCGUCUCAAAAACAAACAAAUAAAUAAAUAAUUUUUGAGACGGAGUUUCACUUUUCUCACCCAGGCUGGAGUGCAGUGGUACCAUCUCAGUCAGUGCAACUUCUGCCUUCCAGGUUCAAGCGGUUCUCCUGCCUCA
rnacentral:sRNA from 1 species